rnacentral:rRNA from 1 species
UGGGGAAUAUUGCACAAUGGGGGAAACCCUGAUGCAGCGACGCCGCGUGAGUGAAGAAGUAAUUCGUUACGUAAAGCUCUAUCAGCAGGGAAGAAACACUGACCUUACGGUCAGCAGACGGUACCUGAGUAAGAAGCCCCGGCUAACUACGUG